CUGACUUAAUGGAGCCAAACCCACCUGGCUCUGCCAGAAAGUCCCCCUGGAUAUCUCAGUCCAGGGGAAGGCUUUGUGCCUCUGCAACCAGCACCCCUUGGGCUGGAGGCAUCAGCCCCCCAACUUCUCUCUCCCUGUAUACUGGAAGAGAUGGUGCAAAACUCAGCUCUGGAAAAUCUCUGAAAACAUCUGAAGUCAAAGGUCUCAGCCCGACUCGGCAAACCAGGUCAUGAAGGGGAGAAGCUCAUGUCUGUCUUGCAGCCUGAUUUCCCACGGAAAGGCCCCAUGUUUACAGUUCUGGGGUUUCCCAGCAAAGAGUAACACUCCAGUUGGAAGCUCAUGUGGCCAAAGAAUGUCUCCGGAUCAGAGAAAGGCAACACACCACCCAAGAACACAGCUCUGUGGGGGGUCCCAGGAACAGGGUUGAAAAAGCAAAGGGAAAAAAUAUAUAGCAUUAAUUUAGCAUCUACUGUGUGCUAGGUAUUCCAGCAGAGAAUGAUGAAGUGAAGAAGAAAAGGAGGAAAAAAGAGGGGGAAGGAAGAGAAAAAGAAGAAAAGCAGGAGGAAUUGAUUUAAAAACAACAACAACAAAAAAUGCCAAUUGUUAUUGAAGCUGGGUAGUGAGUAUA
rnacentral:lncRNA from 10 species